CCGAGUUUACAACUCCCAAACCCCUGUGAACAUACCUAUACGUUGCCUCGGCGGAUCAGCCCGCGCCCCGUAAAAAGGGACGGCCCGCCCGAGGACCCCUAAACUCUGUUCUUAGUGGAACUUCUGAGUAAAACAAACAAAUAAAUC
rnacentral:misc_RNA from 1 species